CUACGGGCGGCUGCAGUGAGGAAUUUUGCGCAAUGGGGGAAACCCUGACGCAGCAACGCCGCGUGAGCGAAGAAGGCCCUCGGGUCGUAAAGCUCUGUCAAGUGGGAAAAAAAUUUUUUGAUCAAUAGUCAAAAGACUUGAUGGUACCACUGGAGGAAGCACCGGCUAACUCCGUGCCAGCAGCCGCGGUAAUACGGAGGGUGCGAGCGUUGUUCGGAUUUACUGGGCGUAAAGAGCGUGUAGGCGGUUUAGCAAGUCAGAUGUGAAAGCCCUGGGCUCAACCCGGGAAGUGCAUUUGAAACUGCUUCACUAGAGUAUGGGAGAGGAGAUUGGAAUUCCUGGUGUAGAGGUGAAAUUCGUAGAUAUCAGGAGGAACACCCGUGGCGAAGGCGAUUCUCUGGACCAAUACUGACGCUGAGACGCGAAAGCGUGGGGAGCAAACAGGAUUAGAUACCCCCGUAGUC
rnacentral:rRNA from 1 species